UACGAAGGGGGCUAGCGUUGCUCGGAAUCACUGGGCGUAAAGCGCACGUAGGCGGCUUUCUAAGUCAGGGGUGAAAUCCUGGAGCUCAACUCCAGAACUGCCUUUGAUACUGGAGAGCUUGAGUCCGGGAGAGGUGAGUGGAACUCCGAGUGUAGAGGUGAAAUUCGUAGAUAUUCGGAAGAACACCAGUGGCGAAGGCGGCUCACUGGCCCGGUACUGACGCUGAGGUGCGAAAGCGUGGGUAGCAAACAGG
rnacentral:rRNA from 1 species